AAAAAAUCUAUGCUUAUUGUUGGAUUGUCAAUUUGUCAUGGAUCCUAUGAUGAACUUAAUACCAUCGAGAUACCUUUCCAUACUAGGUGUUUCUUUCAUUUUUUUAAUUGUAGAAAAGAACCAUAUUUUAAUGGACUUCACAUUCAUGUAUUUGAACAUACUUCAAAAGAAUGCAGAAUUAAGUGUGCAUAUGUCUUUGAGCAUAACUAUUAGCUAAUGCGAUAAAAGCUCAAAAGCCAAGAAAAAGAUAAAUUUAGCCCUACUGCCCCAAUUCUUCUGAUUCUUUUUCACCUGCAUGGUCAUAGCUUUUCAUUCUCACCCAUGCCAUUUGUGCUUCACCACUUCUCUAGAAAAUCAUUGGAGAUCUCAAAAAAAUUUUGGCCUAACCCACGUCCAUGUUGCCCUUCUCUGUGUGUGUUUUUUAAGGCUUCAGCCAUGCCAUUUGGGCUCCACCACUUUCCUAAAAAAUCAUUGGAGGUCUUUAAAAAUGUUUGGUUGACCCACUUUCUUGCCCUGAUCAGUAUUCUUUUAGGCAUUUCUCUUAUCCUAGUUAUGGUGGCUUGAAUUUACACCUAACCACAUAUUAAUGGUCAUAACUUUGCCAGAAAUAGUUGCUUGGAUAUAAUCUAAUGAUCCAAAUUUUCAUUUGAUCUCAUAUCUGUAAACCCAAAAUUGCCAGUGGCUCGGUCGAGUGUUUUGCAAUUUUGGGCCCCUUGCUCCUUGAAGUGUGUUGAAGGAUGGAUAGAAAUUUAGAUUUAUAUGUCAUGUUCGAGUUAAAAUAGUCUUUUGACAGACAUGAUUAUGGUACAAUGAAUUAUCUGUGCAUGUUAAAGAAAUAGGAUAAAUAUAUUAGUGGUGUCUGAACUUUUUAAAAUUGGACAAUUUAGCAUCUUACCUUUUUUUAUUUUUGGUUAUCAAGCAAGUGUUUGAAUGGAGAAAACUAUUUCAGUCAAAUGAAUUUGCCAGAUUUACUCACUGAAAUACUAAAAUUGACAAAUUUAACCUUAUGAAUAAUAUUACCAACAAAAGAUGCUAGAUAUGUAAAACUAAACAUUUUUUAGUAAAAACAUAAGAUAUGUAACAAUAUAUUCAAGAUAAAAACAUUUAACCAAAUUAUGAUCGCUGGUUCUAUUUAAUUAAUUAAUUAAUUUUUUGUUUAUAUUGUUUGGGAUAAAGGCUUAG
rnacentral:misc_RNA from 1 species